rnacentral:rRNA from 1 species
ACGACCGUACCGCAAACCGACACUGGUGCGCGAGAUGAGUAUUCUAAGGCGCUUGAGAGAACUCAGGAGAAGGAACUCGGCAAAUUGACACCGUAACUUCGGAAGAAGGUGUGCCUUUAGUAGGUGAAGGGAUUUACUCCUGGAGCCCAAUGAGGUUGCAAAAAAUCGGUGGCUGCGACUGUUUAUUAAAAACACAGCACUCUGCAAACACGAAAGUGGACGUAUAGGGUGUGACGCCUGCCCGGUGCUGGAAGAUUAAAUGAUGGGGUGCAAGCUCUUGAUUGAAGUCCCAGUAAACGGCGGCCGUAACUAUAACGGUCCUAAGGUAGCGAAAUUCCUUGUCGGGUAAGUUCCGACCUGCACGAAUGGCGUAACGAUGGCCACACUGUCUCCUCCUGAGACUCAGCGAAGUUGAAAUGUUUGUGAUGAUGCAAUCUCCCCGCGGAAAGACGGAAAGACCCCAUGAACCUUUACUGUAGCUUUGUAUUGGACUUUGAACAGAUCUGUGCAGGAUAGGUGGGAGGCUUUGAAGCAGGGUCGCUAGAUCUUGUGGAGCCAACGUUGAAAUACCACCCUGGUGUGUUUGAGGUUCUAACCUAGGUCCAUUAUCUGGAUCGGGGACAGUGCAUGGUAGGCAGUUUGACUGGGGCGGUCUCCUCCCAAAGCGUAACGGAGGAGUUCGAAGGUACGCUAGUUACGGUCGGACAUCGUGACGAUAGUGCAAUGGCAUAAGCGUGCUUAACUGCGAGACUGACAAGUCGAGCAGAUGCGAAAGCAGGACAUAGUGAUCCGGUGGUUCUGUAUGGAAGGGCCAUCGCUCAACGGAUAAAAGGUACUCUGGGGAUAACAGGCUGAUACCGCCCAAGAGUUCAUAUCGACGGCGGUGUUUGGCACCUCGAUGUCGGCUCAUCUCAUCCUGGGGCUGUAGCCGGUCCCAAGGGUAUGGCUGUUCGCCAUUUAAAGAGGUACGUGAGCUGGGUUUAAAACGUCGUGAGACAGUUUGGUCCCUAUCUUCCGUGGGCGCUGCAGAUUUGAGGAAGCCUGCUCCUAGUACGAGAGGACCGGAGUGGACACACCUCUGGUGUAUCGGUUGUCACGCCAGUGGCAUUGCCGAGUAGCUAAGUGUGGAAGAGAUAACCGCUGAAAGCAUCUAAGCGGGAAACUCGUUUCAAGAUGAGAUCUGCCGGGGCCUUGAGCCCCCUAAAGAGUCGUUCAAGACCAGGACGUUGAUAGGCAGGGUGUGGAAGCGCAGUAAUGCGUUAAGCUAACCCGUACUAAUUGCUCGUGCGGCUUGAUCAA